CUUCACGGAACGUUCCAAGCUGCCAAAAUGUACGCUUCAUUUUCUUGGUUUAGAUUCGCGGUGUAAACGAAAAUUAUUGUGCGCGAAAAUCUUGUUAAAUAGAUAAUUUAAAGCAUCUGUUUAUUACGUGAGCAGGGACUUUGGCGCGGAGCGUUCCGGUGCAUUUCGGCAACAACGCGUCAGAUUGGCAACAGCGCGACAUUUCGAUGCAACGUAAUUUUUUCAGAUGCCUUCCCAAGCCAACCAUUGCCUUUGGCAUUGAAUGCCAACGAAGGAGCGGACAAUGCUGUGCGGACAAUGCUGUGCGGAUGAUGGAAUGCGGCCGCGUAGUGCUAAACUUAAUCAAGGAGUGCAGUGAAAAGUGCUUGCCGGAAGCAUUAAACAAUUGUAGAAAAGUUGUAGAG